rnacentral:rRNA from 1 species
GAUGAACGCUGGCGGCGUGCCUAAUACAUGCCAGUCGAGCGAACAGACGAGGAGCUUGCUCCUCUGACGCUAGCGGCGGACGGGUGAGUAACACGUGGAUAACCUACCUAUAAGACUGGGAUAACUUCGGGAAACCGGAGCUAAUACCGGAUAAUAUAUUGAACCGCAUGGUUCAAUAGUGAAAGACGGUUUUGCUGUCACUUAUAGAUGGAUCCGCGCCGCAUUAGCUAGUUGGUAAGGUAACGGCUUACCAAGGCAACGAUGCGUAGCCGACCUGAGAGGGUGAUCGGCCACACUGGAACUGAGACACGGUCCAGACUCCUACGGGAGGCAGCAGUAGGGAAUCUUCCGCAAUGGGCGAAAGCCUGACGGAGCAACGCCGCGUGAAUGAUGAAGGUCUUCGGAUCGUAAAACUCUGUUAUUAGGGAAGAACAAAUGUGUAAGUAACUAUGCACGUCUUGACGGUACCUAAUCAGAAAGCCACGGCUAACUACGUG